rnacentral:rRNA from 1 species
GACAGAGGCCUCGAGCGUUAGGCGGAAUCACUGGGCUUAAAGCGUGUGUAGGCGGAUCGUUAAGUGUCUUGUGAAAUCCCACGGCUCAACCGUGGAACGGCUGGGCAUACUGGCGAUCUUGAGCAGCCUAGGGGCGACCGGAACAAACGGUGGAGCGGUGAAAUGCGUAGAUAUCGUUUUGGAACGCCGAUGGUGAAAACAGGUCGCUGGGGGCUUGGCUGACG